GCUGUAAGGUAGGAGGUAGUCUACCAGGUUAAACAUUCACCUGCUGUAAGGUAGGAGGUAGACUACCAGGUUAAACAUUCACCUGCUGUAAGGUAGGAGGUAGACUACCAGGUUAAACAUUCACCUGCUGUAAGGUAGGAGGUAGUCUACCAGGUUAAACAUUCACCUGCUGUAAGGUAGGAGGUAGACUACCAGGUUAAACAUUCACCUGCUGUAAGGUAGGAGGUAGACUACCAGGUUAAACAUUCACCUGCUGUAAGGUAGGAGGUAGUCUACCAGGUUAAACAUUCACCUGCUGUAAGGUAGGAGGUAGACUACCAGGUUAAACAUUCACCUGCUGUAAGGUAGGAGGUAGACUACCAGGUUAAACAUUCACCUGCUGUAAGGUAGGAGGUAGUCUACCAGGUUAAACAUUCACCUGCUGUAAGGUAGGAGGUAGACUACCAGGUUAAACAUUCACCUGCUGUAAGGUAGGAGGUAGACUACCAGGUUAAACAUUCACCUGCUGUAAGGUAGGAGGUAGACUACCAGGUUAAACAUUCACCUGCUGUAAGGUAGGAGGUAGUCUACCAGGUUAAACAUUCACCUGCUGUAAGGUAGGAGGUAGACUACCAGGUUAAACAUUCACCUGCUGUAAGGUAGG